rnacentral:rRNA from 1 species
CGGGGAUGACUUGUGGGUAGCGGUGAAAUUCCAAUCGAGCCCGGAGAUAGCUGGUUCUCCCCGAAAUAGCUUUAGGGCUAGCCUCAAGGUGAGAGAUACAGAGGUAGAACACUGAAUGUCCUAAGGGUAAUGACACCUACCGCAGACUAUCAAACUAAGAAUGCCGUCAUCUUAUACUUGGGAGUCAGACUGUGGGUGAUAAGAUUCAUAGUCGAAAGGGCCACAGCCCAGAUCGUCCGCUAAGGUCCCUAAAUGUAAGUUAAGUGGUAAAGGAUGUGGGAUUGCACAGACAACCAGGAUGUGGGCUUAGAAUCAGCCACUCAUUCAAAGAUUGCGUUAUAGCUCACUGGUCGAGUGAUCCUGCGCCGAAGUUUUCCGGGGCUAAAACUUACUACCGAAGCUACGGCAUCAGUAAUGAUGGGUAGGGGAGCUUCCCAUACGGGUUGAAGCAUGACCGUAAGGACAUGUGGACAGUAUGGGAGUGAGAAUGUUGGCA